GAUGAACGCUGGCGGCGUGCCUAAUACAUGCAAGUCGAGCGAACGGACGAGAAGCUUGCUUCUCUGAUGCUAGCGGCGGACGGGUGAGUAACACGUGGAUAACCUACCUAUAAGACUAGGAUAACUUCGGGAAACCGGAGCUAAUACCGGAUGAUAUUUUGAACCGCAUGGUUCAAAAGUGAAAGACGGUCUUGCUGUCACUUAUAGAUGGAUCCGCGCUGCAUUAGCUAGUUGGUAAGGUAACGGCUUACCAAGGCAACGAUGCAUAGCCGACCUGAGAGGGUGAUCGGCCACACUGGAACUGAGACACGGUCCAGACUCCUACGGGAGGCAGCAGUAGGGAAUCUUCCGCAAUGGGCGAAAGCCUGACGGAGCAACGCCGCGUGAGUGAUGAAGGUCUUCGGAUCGUAAAACUCUGUUAUUAGGGAAGAACAUAUGUGUAAGUAACUGUGCACAUCUUGACGGUACCUAAUCAGAAAGCCACGGCUAACUACGUG
rnacentral:rRNA from 1 species